ACUGAGCACCAAGCUGCUGCCAAAAAACACUUUCUUGGCCGAUAAUCUCACUUUUUUUUCCUGCUUCUUUGUGUAGCAGGUAUUUAAAAACAGCAACAAGCCGAAUCAGUCGCGACUUUUCCCCUUAACGCUCCGAGACUCUUUUUCCCCCUUUUAAUGUCUGAUUAAACAAAACAGCUUUUUUGCACAGACUGGAAAAGAAGCUUUGAUUUUUAUUAUUAAUGUUGUUUUUUUAAACGCUUGUCUUUCAGAUCAGAGCCAUCCUCAGUGGAAGAACGGAGUGUUAUGGAGAGGGACAUGCACGCCAAAUGUUUCUAAACACGCGUACGGUCAUUGAAGACCCACCCUCACCCCUUCCUGCUGCUGCCUGCACCUCCUGAUCCCCCAUCACCAGAGAGAGGGGUAUACAAUUUCGGAAUGAAGAUUAAACUAUCAAUGAUGUACGAGCGAUCUUGGAUAAAAGCAGUUAGCGCUGAUGUCGCCUGCUCGCCGUAAUGUAUUGUGCUGCAAACAAGAAGGAUGGCCGGAUCCCUGCCUCCCGGUGCCACGGGGCCCCACGGUGACGUGGGGGCUCAGGUAUAUGGAUGGCCUGAGGAGGUCUCCAUCAUUCAUAAAACAUGCCGCCGCCAUACGCUGCCGAAUUGAUCUUGCAAAAGAAGCAGGGUGGCACACCAACCACUUCAUUAGUCUUCUGGAUCCACAAAUCAAACCUCGGUAGACUCGCACAGCCACUGCAUCUACCAAAUUCUAACCCACCACUGCUCCAUUCAUGGCUUUCCCACACUUCUCCAGUCGGCAGACCUUCCAUUCGGUGUUUAUUGUGCGUGGCCAACUGGCAUCGGAUGAAAUAAACAUCUGCAGAAAAAGCAGUGUCCGGCAGCAGUAGCCCUGUAAGCUGUAUACAGAAAUGCACACAAAUCUCAGCCAUGGUAAUUGAUCAUUCGUGGUCAUUUUAGGCGUCGUGGGAUGAAAUCAAGUAGCUUCUCCAUAAAACAAUGUCAAAUAUUGAUGAUAUUUCUUUUCGCUGGCCCUCGGAAUGAAUUGCCGCACUCACCGAGCUUUCAUGAUGAAUGCUUUUUAUUGCUUUUUCUGUUGUUGUUGGAGUGCUUGGACUCUUUGUAGCAUGCAGAAACAGCUAAGCCAGACCUCCUGCAAGACUGGGACAGCACCGGCUGCACGGAAAAACCACUGCCUCCUUUUGUUUUUUGUUUUUAUCUGAUGCACUUUGUCCUAUAGAAGUCUGUGCUUGAGAUAUCAUAAAUCAACAAAACAUUAAAUUGGUGCAUUUGAUAUCAUGGACUGAAAUAAGCAUUCAGAUAAGAUCUUUUCCAGAAUGUUAAUAAAGAUAUAGAAGAGCUGUAAGGUUUUAUUGACAGAUAUAUAUCACAAUUGGAGUUAAAUGCCAAGAAAGAAGAGUUGUUGCUUUGCUUGGAGAUGUAAAAAGAAAAUGAAAUGUCUUUCUCUUGUUCUCUCUCCUGUGCUCCUCCUUUGUCUGUCUGUCUCUGCAUGUCUUUCAGAAAACAAACUGUUCUUGCAUUGUCUUGUCUCUUUAAAGUUGCAUGGCUGCCCUCAACCCCCGCCUUGUUCCUGCACAGCCUAUUCCCCCAACUGUCAUUCCAGCAGGUCUAAAAGCCUGUCUUGUGAGCUGUUCAACAUCAGAAGCUGUUUGUGUAUUUGUCAGUUUGGUACCCCUAGAAAUUCAAGGAGUUAAGACAAGGACGCCUGAGGACUUUCUUUUGGGAGACUUAGAGCUUGUGUUUGAAGCUAUUGGCUAAGCCAGUGUUUCCCAAACCAGGGGGUCUCCAGGGACCCCUUUAACAGAGGUUAUCAACUGGCAGGCUAUUUUGUAGAAGCAGUCCCAGCAAGGACUUAAAUUGAUUGGACAGUGCAUUUGAAAAACAAUGAAGCAUAGCUAACAAAUGUAUAACAAGGCCAUAGUUUACUGACUCCAGUUUUCUAAACAUGACCCAUCAUGGCUUCUAUAGAAGAUCCUCUGGUCCAAGUUCCAAUCACAUGCAUUUAGAUAUACAGUAAAAGAGUUUUACCUGAGCUUUCGAUAAAAAUAUCUCGUUUACAGUGUCUGGUCUGAUUAGUGAAUGUAGUAACUAAAUAUUAUAAUAAUAAAAGCCAAUGACAAAACCAGGGUAUUUAAAGAUGAUCGGUCAGAGAAGAAUGUUUUUCUAGUUUAAAACAUGUGUCUCAUCUGUUCAGACUCUGUGGCACUAGUCAGAGCAAAACAUAGCCAUAAGCCCUAUUUGGAUUGGACUAGUUUUACAUGGGAGAGUGGGGUGAUGUAAUUAUUGGCAGAUUAGCUCUAGGAUCUUACGGACUGCACGGAAAUGUCCGGAAUGACUACAAAGAUUUUUUUCCUUUCUAUGAUACAACCCGAGGUAAUAGAUUCCAUCCGAAUUGACAUUUUAUUUAAAGGCAUGAAUUAAUCACUAAUUGUUAAUCAUUGAACAUGAACUGCUGUCUUCAUUUAGUUACGUUAUCCAGGAUUUUAUAUGCAAGAACUUUUUUUUUGUUUAACCAUAUUACUGUCCUCUCCCUGAAAUGAGCAAAAAUAUUGGCUCCCUAUGGGCCGCUAAGAACAGGUUUGGGAAACACAUGUCUGAUACCUUGAGGAAUUUAUAAUGAUAGAUUUGUUUUUAUGUAAUAUUAUUUUGAGUGAUUCCUGAUCACAUUUAGUGACAGACAAAAAAGGAAUGUGCAAUUAGUGUAGCCCAUAUAAUGUGACAUGAUAGUAUUUCUUUUUUCAUCAUUAAUUGAUUGGGAAAUCUGACAUCUUUUAAUGUUUGAAUGUUCUCCUUGAAUUCAAUAAUUUUCUCCAUUUCCUUUCAAUAAUCAUUUCACAAAUUAUGAAGCCUUGAGAAUGUCUUUAAGUAUAAGCAUCAAUAAUUCAGUCUACUCUGUCCAGGACAGGAAAAUGUGUGUAUGUGUGUCUGUGUCUGGCGAGGGGGUCAAACUACUCCCCCUUGGAUUGACUUAUUUGAAGAGUGGCCCAGCAAAGCACAAGGCAGCAGUGGUACAAGGGCUGGAGGUCCAAGGGGAAUUUGGAGUGUCUCUAUUACAAGACCAGAGCGAUUUGUAUGGAAUUAUGUCAAGCCAUAGCGUUGCAGACCUUUGGGACAGUGACACGCCUGGUCCUGUGGCAAAAUGAUCCUCUCUUUUAUCCUCUCUUUUCUAGCCACAGAUGAAAAGACAACAAAAUAAGCUAUGAAAUAAUAAAGCAAAUAAUUUGUUGUCUAAUAAUUUAUAAUAACAAGCUUAUCAUAAAAGCUUCAUCUGUAAAUAAAUAAAUUCAAAUGCUACACUGAACUUUUUGUUUGAAAUGUGGCAAGUUUAAAAAAUUUGGUGGAAACCACAAUAGUACAGGCUUCAUGCAAUUCGAAACCUGAAGUAUUCAGAAGUCCUAUUAACCUCUGAUGCAACUGGAUGGCAAAUACCAUUAAUCCCGACUCGUCCAUGCAAGAAGGCCGAGAUGUGUAUGGGGAUACACUGAGGGACAUGUUGCUAGGACACAAGCAUAAGGAGCUAGUGCUAGAAGUCUAUUUACUUUCUCUCCCUCUCUCCUUUUUCAGUGAGUGUGUGUAUGAUAAAGUGCUAUGACAGCAGAAAUGUUUGUGUGACAUACACCCGGGGACCUGGUCCAUUAGCAGUCUCUUUUGGCAGGUUAUCGGGGCAACCGAGACAAGUCAAAAUCUCAUCGUCAUGUUUCUUCCCUUCCUCUUGUCUACAGGUUCAGCCAUUUGUACAGCGAGGGAGGGAGUGCACAAAAUAAAAUAGUACAGGGAACGAACUGUUAUAUUUUCUUGCUGUUUGUAGCAAAUGCAAUGUGAAAAAGGUAGGAAUACAAGAGUGUGCUUGUUUCAGACUGCGUUCGCCAAUCUAUUUCAGAGAAUCUGAGUAAUGGGAUUUGUCCAUAAUUAAUGCUUUUCCUCUGUUGCAAGAAGGCUGUCCAUCAAAGUGGUGCAUUGCUCAGAGGAAUUAUAGCAGCAAAGUAAUCCACCCAUUACACGCUAUCCACACCAUCAAUUUUUAAUGGAAGAGUGAAAUGUUGGAUUAAGCAAAGAUUUUAAGGGAAAAUAUGGGGAUUGUAAGUCAUAAAUGUACAUAGAAUAUUCUGUUGUUGGGAUGAAUAGAAGUAAAAAAAACAAUGAAGUGCUUUCUAAGUAUUCAUCCCUGUUAAUGAGAAAAAAUAAAAAUUAAAUUAAAGCAUCACUGCGAAUCACAUACCUUUCUACAAUUAAGGUUUUAGGUCACAUCAGUAUCUGCAAACCCAUAGAGUUUAAAAGAGACAAACCUAAACGAUCAGUAUAAUGAAGACCAAGAAGCUCUCAGUGCAAGACAAAUGCAGGA